rnacentral:lncRNA from 1 species
AUCCAUCUAUUGAUAGAAAUUAUGGGUGUGAUAACAAAAUAAAUUUUGUUUUUUGAGGACACCUCAAAGGGGCAAGGAGUUCCUGCAAUUCAUUAUAGAGGAAAUAGAAUUGCCCAUUAAUUAGGGAAAACCGGGCGAAAACCCGAUACAAAAGGGACGAACCCCAACGGUCGACAAAAAGACCGAAACGACUAACCAAACGCGCCACCUACACACCAACACAACAAUGGAAACAACAGAAGAACAUCCCCACCGCAUCGAACAUCACAUCAUACCCUCCACUGAGCAAGCCAGAUCCGGUAUGACCCACCAAAGAGGGGCUGAAGGAUCUCGACAGGCUCCGAAGAAGCACGGAUGAAUCUUCGUCGGAGCACCACACCACCGCACUGCACGCACCGCCGCCUUUGAAGGAGAGAGAAACCAAACCCGCUAGAGAGGAGCAGGUUUGGGCCGGCCCGCCAAAGGUGGAGGUGAGGCGCGCCUCAAGAGCCCAGCGUCACCCGUCACCCAUCUCUUCGAUCGUCUGCGGACCAACGCUGCUCGGGGCCACCGCCCGGCAACUAGAGCCCAACUACGCCCAGCGCAGCAUAGCACCUUCACCCCCUUCCGAGGCUGCCGCCCUGACUUCCAAACGCUGACUGCCAAGACAAGAACCGCAGCCAAGCUGCCAGAUCUGCUGCCCUGGCAACUAUACGGCCAAAUUAUGGGGCCGCCACCUCGGCAUCCACAGCCGCAGCCAUGCCGCCUGCAUGCCGAAUCCACCCACACACGGCGGGAGGAAGCGCCCCGGCCGCACCAGAUCAGCAACCAAAAGUGAACUCAGAACCUCGCCGUCCGUCCCCAAGGCUGGCCAAGCCAACCGCAGCCGCCUCCCCGGAAGAGACAACCCGGCCUCCCCUGAGCCUCGUACGUGCACCCGGCCACCUAGCCACCGAGAUCUGCAGGCGCCGCCCCUCCCCACCGCCUCCGCCCGCCGGAGUCGCGUCGAUGAGGGCCGCCGCCGCCCCGGCGUUCGAGCUCCGCUGCACCGAGGGCAGCCAGAGGAUCCCCACCCUCCUUCAGGGGCAGGGCCCGCCGCCACCGCGGCGAGGGCCGGCGGCCGCGGCAGCAGGGUGGGGCACGGGAGAGUGGCGGUCGACGAGAUCUAGGGUUUUUCCCCUGAGCCGCCAGACGAAGGAGACGCAGGGGUCGUGAGUCACUAUCCAAAUUAAAUUUUGUGUCAUCUGGAUAUCUUUGUACAACAAAUAAUGUGAAGUGGAGUGGAGUCCAAGUACAGAGUACUCUCCGGAGUCCGAACACCAGGAAUUUCUUUUUCCACCAGAUAUUGUCGUUGAUGUUUGUCAUCCAAAUGGGUCUCCAACCCUCAAAGGUUGAGAAUUCGACAUCUCAAUGUACUCAAACCAUAACUCAUGGUUGAGAUUUCGAAAUCUCCAUCCCUAAAUGGGUAUACUCUCUCCGUCCAACCGAAGAUGUUUUAAGUUUGUCAAAAUUUGAAUGUAUGUAGACAUGACUUAGUGUAUAGAUGCAUUCAAAUUUAGUCAAAAUUGAACAUCCUUGUUGAACGAAAGAAGUAUAUAUUUUCACCCUUGUCAUUUUUAAUUACGAAACGUAUUCGAGUAGCACUGUUUAAGGCAAGUACACCUCGGUAACAUGUGCACAGCACACGCACAAGCUAGCAGACAUGCACACGCACAACUGGGCCAGCGUUCGUACUGCAGUGGGCGGUACGUGCAGGAGUGAUUUCGUCAAGACUAUAGCUGGCUACUUCUUACGAUUUGGGACCAGUCAGUGGUGUACCACGAAGCAAUUAUAUACCAAUACAACCAGGAAGCGAGGAAGAAAAUUAUGCAUGGUGUCUCCUCAAAAACAAAAUUAUGUACUCUCUCCGUCCAACAAAAAUGUCUCAAGUUUGUCAAAAUUCGGAUGUAUCCAGAUAUGAUUUAGUGUAUAGAUGCAUUCAAAUUUAGUCGAAGUUGAGACAUCCUUUAUUGAACGGAGUAAGUAUGGUGAUUCGAAACUUCAAACUCUGCAGCGCCAAAAGGGGGCAAUGCAAUUACUCCGUGUUAAUUAUACUAGGUGCUUGGAUCAUCUUCAUAAGAUGGUGGAAAAUAAGCAGCUCCAUUCAUGUCGAAUUCUCCACAAAAAAUAGCUCAAAAUACUGAAGGGACACUUUUAAGUUUCAGAAUAUUUCCAUUUUUUUACCCUUGACAAUAGAAAAAAAAAUCUAAUUUCAGACUUGCUAAUUUACACAAGCACAUUGGGGCAAGCAAGUUAGGCAACGCAGAGGCAAGCUGGGCGAGCCAACUUUUCAUAGAUCCAUCAUCCCAUCCCAUAAAAAAUCUCCACAUCAUGCAUCGAUGUGGCAGAGAAGUCAGCUAUCCAUUUGCACAUCAGGUCAAAUCCGGGUUUGACCACCCUAAACCAACAUGAAGACCAACUUUAAUCGGUAUUGACAUUUCAUGGAUGAAUUAAGUUCGCACAAAAAAGAGUCAAGGGACUAUAGAGAGCCAAAGAGAAAUAAAAAGAAGGGAAAAAGAAAAAAAAUGAAGAUUUUUCUUGAAACACUCGGCUAAUUCAAAAAAUAGAGAGAACGUACUCAAGAAUUCAAAAAUAAAAAAAUUAUGAAGAAUGUGGUUCUUUCAAGGGAUUGAAAAUUUCUAUUUAAAAAUAUUUUUUAAAUGAAAUUUGAGGAACAAUCUGUAUUUUUUUAGGGAAAUCUAAAAUUUAUAGAAAAAUGGAAAUACUCAAAUUAGUAAAACUAAAUGAAUUUUAAAAAUGAAAAAUAAAUAAUGUAGAAGUGGAAAUUUGUUGAGUUUUAUCAAACUCCAUAGGUUGUUCAUGAAUAUAGUAUGAAUGUUAUGCAUUUCUAAUUUUCUAUAGCAACUUUGGAAUAGUUUUUCUCUAAAUUUAUUUUAAAAAGUCUUUUUGCAUUCGAGGGACCAAGAAUAUUUGACACACAUAUAGGAGACUAGUCUUUGGACUAUAAAAAGUAAACCUUUUCCUUUACUCAAGCUUAUACUAUAAUGUAAAAACCUGUGAAUGAUCCCCGCAGGAAGCCACGUCGAUCUAACACCACCAUUUUUUUAAUUUUUUUGAUAAAUCGAUCUAACACACCAUCUGUUAAGUAUAGGUUGGUGCGAUUAUAACCCUUCUGGGACAAACUAAAUGCACACCUUGUCAGCUCUGCACAGACUGCACUGAACUCAAUACGUCCAAUAACAGGUGAGCCCCCCUUACCUACUCGAAGCAAGCAAGCAAAGCAACCUCUCACGCUUUCACUUGUCCUAUAAACUGCCCGCAGCAUCCAUCGCGCUCUCACUCCAUUCACGGCGGGCGCACCCAACAACCAAGCUCCACUCUCUCGCUCUCUCUACCCGAGCCUGCCUAGCUAAUUAAGCUACCCAGCGAAUUGAAACCAAGGAGCUAGCUGGAGUAGCUACAAGUGCUAGAAACCCAUUUCGGAGGCAAAGAAUUAAUUGAAUUAAGGAAGCGCCAUGUUAGGCUGCUUCUCCCGGCUGCGUCGGCCGCCGCCGGCCACGGCGCCGGCGCCCGUGCAGGCGGCCGACGACGCGUCCACGUCAGCGGAGUCGACCUCCACCGUGGCCACGACCUCCUCCUCCUCAUCCGCGCCCUUCAAGAAGAACAUCAUCUCGCUCCACGCCGGUAGUAACGACGACGGCGCCAUUGUUGUCUCUGCGAAGAAGAAGGUGGACGCGACCCCGACGUCAUCGGCGCUCUCCGAGUCACCGGGGCUGUCCUCGGCCAUCGCGUCGCGGCGGUUCUUCCUGUCGUCGCCGGGGCGGUCAAACUCCAUCGUGGACUCCUCCUCGUCGGCGAUGCACGCGGUGGGGGGCGUGGCGGCGGUGCCGACGUACUCGCCGGACCCGCACGGUGACUUCCUGCGGUCCAUGGAGGAGAUGGCGGCCGCGCUCCGGCUGCGGGACGCGCGGCGGCGCGGUGACAGGGCGCGGCUCCACGAGCUGCUGCUCUGCUACCUCGCGCUCAACGACAGGGGGGCGCACAGGUACGUCGUCAGUGCCUUCACCGACCUCCUCCUCCGCCUCACCCGCACCGCCGACCUCGACGACGACGAUGAAGAAGGCUUGUAGAUAUACCAGAUCGAGCCCCGGAGAUAAAACAGUCUCUUCUUCCAAUUGAUCUCAAGAGCGUUGCUAACUAUGCUAUGCGUAGGAACAGAGUUUUUCUUUUUUGGCAAAAUGUUCGUGCCAUGCUCAGUUACCUUACCCAGAUCAUAUGCGUAUGCAUGUGCAUGUGCAUCUGGCUGUAAAUACGUCGUGUGAAAUUUCGUGGCGAAAGCCACUUUGGAGGAGUUUGUACCGUUGUGUGCGUUGCUUUUUGCUCUUUUAUGAAAGGUGUGAGCGUGCUAGUGAAGGCGGAAUAUCUUAGCUUCCACAAUCGUGUCGCUUUGUUUGCUUUGUGCGUAGUUGCGGUUUGUCUUUUUGGCCAUCUCUUACGCUUUUUACUGUGUAGGCACUAGCUUUCUGUUGGGGUAUCUAUCUGAAGGCCGGUUUGCUUUUGCAUUUGCUUAAAGCAAACAUGGUUAUGCCGUGACCAUCUUUUGUAAAUGUAAAGACAAUUCUAUUGGUUAUCACUCUCAAUAGCAUUAGUGCUAACUGCUGCACAUCUCAUUUAUCUUUUACACUGCCCCAAAAGCGACUUCGCCUAUCUUGAGACUGGCGAGGUCUUCGGAUCCAGCAGCAGGACGCAAUAAUAAACAGAUGCCGUGCAAAACCAAUCGGUGUACUACAUGGACCUGCAGCCCUGCUCACACAUGGCUACUGUUAAGUUGGAUGGUGGAUCGUAUCAAUCGCUGCUGGGGGCAGAGCAAAGCAUGAGGACACUCGUUCGCAAAAAAUAACGAAAAUGCAUAAUGAGAUUCAUUCAUGGACUCACUCCUGUGUGGUCGGAACUAGUAGGGGCUGAAAAAACAGAAACGUGAUGCCAAAAGGCAAAGCAAUCAAGCCUGUGAAGGGGGACAUGGACACUGCAACCGCAAACCAAGAUCUGCAUAGAUGUGCUUUGUCCAUGAAGCCCCAGCUCCUUUUUGCCCAACACAAUCAGAUCACGAUUCCAAAUACGUCCUGGGGCCUGCACAAUUACUGACUGAUGCGUAACAAACUAGAAAGCAAAGCAGGCAGGCAACGAGACAGCAACGGCAGCACUAGAGGGACAUGUUGCGAUCCCUGCAACAACACCAGAGCAGCAACCAAGUGCAGCGGGCAGCAUAGCAUGGAACAGUGCAAUCACGAAACAAGUCCACCACCGCCCAGCAGUUCCCUGUGCUGCUCCAGGUCCUCUGGCCAUUGAUCCUUCCGUCCUGGCCGGCAGUGACGCCGACAAAAUCACCUUUGGUGGCCGGCCACGCGCCGCAGGCCACAGCACGCAUGGCAUGACAGGCAGCAGAAUGAGCACUAGGGCACACUGCUGCACUCCCACAAACAAGAAAUACUGCUCAAUGCAGAUUUGGCACCCUGCUGGGGGAGUGGAGAUGCACCAGGAUCCACAGGAUUGAUAUAAAAAUUCAUGAAACUGUAAAUUUAGAAAGAGAUUUUUUACGGUUCUGGAACCACAAAUACGACUGGGAAUGGGACAGGUGGGGCAAGAAGAAUAGGAGAAGCAAAAUGGAUGGAGAAACAAACAAUGGGUGAUAAAUGUGGUACAGAAUAGACAGAGAACAAGAAAAAUCCAUAUCUAUGAGAGAGUAAUUUAAUGGCACAGAAUAAGCAUUUGCCUAAUUCAGUUUGAUAUCUAAUUGUUCCCAGCAUUGAUCUACUGAUAUAUGAACUCUUUUGAACUGUAACUGAUAUCUGUGGUACUUGCAGAUAAAUUCUACUCCCUCUGACCCAUAUUAAUUGUCUCAAAUUUGCCCAAAUAUGGAUGCAUCUAUGUUUAAAAAGCGUCUAGAUACAUGUAAUAUUUCGACAAGUAAUUCCGGCCGGAGGGAGUAUGUAAUUUCAAGAUACACCUUUAUUUGAAUAUUUACUAGGAUGGAUAAAUAUCAUCUAAUUGGCAAAUUGAUGGAACCAAAUCACAGCUGCCCUUUAAUGCAAACACAAGCUGAACAAAAUUGUACUACGAAGCACCAUGCGGCAUUGAAGUGGCUUUUUUACCCUCACCUGGUUCCAUGAAAAAUUGCCGAGACCAAUAUCCAGUUGUAAUGACCAAUACAAAUACUGAGGGACUAUCCAAGAUAAUGGCAAUUCCCUAGGAAUAUGUGAUUUUCAAGAGCAAACAAUACACAAAAGCUGUGACCAUUAAUCCUCAAAAUAGAUGCAUCACAUCUUCACCGUCACAGCUAGUGGAACUAUAUACAGCAACAUAUAACCAUUAAUACCCAAAACAGAUAUUCAAAGAACAAUCAAUCCUCAACAAACAUUACCAAGAAAUUUAUCUACCAGGCACGGUACAGACAAGACAAACAUCACAGUUCAUAUUGGAGACAGUUGAUGUAAUAAAUAACUAUCAAUUUGGAUAAACUAUACUCUUCCAGAUAACCAUUCAAUCAGUAGGUGAUGGAUGGUUGCCAGAAAACACAAGUUCAAAUACAAAUCGCAGGAAUAAUGACAAUGGUUAUAGGCAUCCUAAGUGCAAGUAUUAUAUUCGAUUUUUGAUGCACAGCAGUAGCAUGUAUCAAUCAGAUUGGUAUCAAAGAUAAGGUACAGAAGGUUUGGUGCAAUUAAAUAAGCUAGCAGGAAGGUGGGCCUUUUUGAAAAGAGACUAAUCAGAUGGGUCAAAUUCUCUUCUGCUCUUGAGGGAAGCCCUUUUUCUCGAAUCGGAAUCUAAUUCAUCCAGAUCAGAUGAAGUUGCUAGGUAUCCAUAAAGUAUCCUGUUUUUCUCACCCCUGUUAUCAGUCUCGACCAGUAAAGGGUUCUUAUCAGGAUCUAAAGAGUGAGUGGCUUGUGCACGUGACCAACCUAUACGUCCGUGAUCUUGCCUCUCAAGGAACUCAGCAAGGUGCUCAGCCUCUUUUAAGCCAGCUGGGUUGUUCGCGAACUUGAUAAGGGUCAGACCCAAAUGCCCUUCCUUUCCAUACAAGGACUUCGACUUGCCACCAGCAAAACCUAGUUCUGAAAACAAAGAUAGAGGACGACACAGCAAAAAUUACUGUGCUAUAUAUGCCAUUACUCCAUAAACAUGUUCAACAGAGCAAUAGAUGCAUAACUGAUACUCCCUCUGAUCCUAAAUUCUUGACUCAAAUUUGCCCACAUAUGGAUGUAUCUAUUCUUAAAAAGCGUCUAGAUACAUGUAAUAUUUCGACAACAAUUUAGGAUCGGAGGGAGUAGUACUUCUCAUGUGUUUUGAUUUCUCAGAUGUCCAAAUAUUGCUCGACAGUCAAAUCUUAAUUUAACACUCAACAUUAUUGCUAGAUUUAGAUAUUUUAUUUAGCAAGAAAUAUAAGCCCCAAAUCAUCUCUAAUCUCUCCCUCACAGAAAUGUGGCCAAGCGGACAGCGAUGAGAAAAUAUUUGCAGAUUUGAACAAGGAACAUAGCCCGCUGGAAGCAGAUGUGUGUGCGAGACUGACAUAUAUCAGAAUGUGACAGCUCCUUGAACAUGGAACCAGGAUAUACAACUUCAUGUAUAAGGAUAGAGCCAACACAAACUAGUUUUCACAUGGACAGUGCGAUGACUUAGUCUGUGCAGUACUCUGUGCAUUAGUUGAAUCAGGAGGAAUUCAUAUUCAACGGAAUUCAUCUAAUGAAGCGUUAGAUGCCUUCCACUACUCACUGCAGGUUUGCAGCCAACCAAAGCACCCAGGAUAAGACUGCUCCUGCAGAGUUCAAGCUUACAAGACAACAGUAUCAUGAACCUAACAACUCUCAGAAGUACAUCCAACCAACUAAGACAAAUCUAGCAUAUGGCGCAACAAGACAUAGAAUAAUCCCACAACCAUCAUCUCCUACCUAACAAAGGUUAAAACACAUAUGUCCAUAUCAAGUCGGCUACUCGAUACAGUCAGUAAGCUUAGUGAACAUUAUCACAUGGUAGCACAUGUGCCUAGGAGUUUAGUGAUCAAACUAUGGUCAUAUAAAAAGGGAUCACUAAUCCAUCAGUUUGGGGAGCUAUACAAUGGUCUUAAAUGCUCAAUUCAUGAGUCUACAAUGCUCUUAGAUCAAUAAGACGAAUAACCUAGCAUAAAUGGAUAGGUUCAUAAUCUUUCAGAAGAAAUGAAAGAUCAAGGUGAAGGAUCGUGAAAGCGCCAGUACACAAGUUCUGUAAGUUCCUUUCCAUACAAUCCUUAUAUUCCCCCAUAUUUUGCCAGGCAGAUGUGACAAACAGGGACACCAAGCCUAUAAAAGUGCAAAUCAGAAACUUCUUCUGUGCACUUAUCCAGCCAACUAUGCGAAAGGCACUUGUAUGCAAACAUUACACUGUUCACUUUGGUAGUUAGAGACUGCAAUAUAUAGACAUACCUGCAAUUUUCUUAUCCAUUUCUUUGUUCCCCAAACCCUCGUAGCGUCCAUCUUUCUUCCUCCCAGUGGCAGUGUUGCGAAUGACAACAGUUGGCGGCCAUAUGAUAACGUCCUCCCUACUUGCUCGAACAAGCUCAGGAGGUAAUGAUUGGUAUGCCUUAGAGUUAUCAGGGACCAUUGUAUAAUCCCAUCCCAUAAGGACACAUAAUGCCUUGUGUAAACCAAGAUGAUCAAUGAAUGAAUCUGCAUUGGGUGGGUUGUAAGCAUGCAUGACAAGCCCAUGGACAUCAGCAAAGUCCUUAGAAGACCUGGAAUUGGGCACAUUGACCAGACAUAAUCACAAAGAAAUAAAGAUGCGGUCAACAGGAGCUGAAAACUACCAAAUAAAUGUAACGGUCGUCACAACCACUAUUAUAUGACAUGAUCUACAAACGAAAAAAGAUAUAUGCUAAUUCCAUUGUACCAAGCCCCAGAGCAAGCCUAUCACAAAUGUGCCAUAAGAUGAGCAUGAAAAUAGGAUUCCAAUGCCACAGAAGAGCUCAUGCUAGAAAACAAUAUGUUUGUUCACCAGAACAUAACUUAAUCCUGUAGGUGUGUCCAAAGCUAUGGUACACUUGGGAAUUGUGUUGCAUGAAGCUGCCUAGGUCACACUGGGAAUCUUCUACCAUACAUAGAUAACGAGCAGUAGCUACUAGGGGUGUUCAAAACGGUUUGGAUUGAAACCGUGAAAACCAGAUACUCAAUAUUCUGUACUACGCCGCCAGUGUGUUCGCAAUCUUUGAAGGGACUUGACCUAGGCUGCUCUCAGCCGGUUUCCACGGUUUCAGGCCAAACAAAAUAUGAACAGCCCUAGUAGCUAGUGCCACGUAGUAGCAUAACCUGCACAUGUGAUAGCUACAUAUAAUCCAGCCAAGCAUAGUCCCAUGCAUGCCACUAACUCAUCCAUUUAGUCCUUACACUCAGCAACCACUAUGCUCGCCUUUUGUAUAGAUCACCCAAGCUAACCCAUUCACAAUGUGCAAGCUCGUUAAGUUAUGACUGCCGAUCAUAAACAAAGGACGCCAUAGAAAGGAAGGAGUCAGAUUCUAUAAAAGGGUUUUGAUGGCAGGUUAGUUUAGACCAAUCGUUUCGACAUGCUAGGAAAGGUAAACAUGCAGAUUAUUGGCUUGUGGAACAAGAACGGGAGUUUUCGAUACCGAGUGAAUUUGGAUCAACUAUGAAAAGGAGAGAAUAGAUAGCAUAUGGAAUCUAAACUACAGUAAUCCGAAUGAACUAUAAUCAGGAAGCAUUGCACAUGGAAACCAACAAGGAUAUGCAAAUGGAAGUUUGGAUCAACAAUGACAAGCAUCAAGACUUUAAAGGGAUUUAUCGUAAUAUUUUCUCUACACACAGGAUAUAUUAGAAGUAACUAUCCAAGGGGAGAUAAGAUGGCAUCUGUGGAGUAAGUUUUUAACAUCACCUAUGUCAUGGGUAAGACACUAUUGUCGCCAUGCUCUUUGGACGGGAGGCAUAAUUCAUGUUCCUAUUUGAAAGGGUGUGAGUAGGAUCUUAUCACCUUUCGGCAGUAUUAUCAGGCUCAGUCCUACCAACGUCUCAGGUCACUAUUGACCAGUGGGGCCUCAUGUUAUUAAAAAACACUAUGAUAUAUAUGACAUAAGAAUAAAUGCAUAAGAUUGUAGUUCUAUACAGAAUACAUUCAACCACAUUUAAGAAGCAUCAAGACCAUCAAGAUGUGCUAGUUUUGUUGAUGCUUGCAAGUUGAUUAUAAACCAGCUCAUGCAAAAGGUUGUAGCUUGCAGGUUCAAAAUUCAGAGGGAUGACAGCAUGGCUCACAGGCAUAAAGCCAACAAACUAUGAGGUUCACAUUUUCUCCAGCCACAUUGGUCAGGUCCAGGUCCUAUAAUCAUGCCUCUGCGAGGAUGAUAUCUUCUAGUUGCCAUUUUGGAUCGAGUUUUUUAGGUUUUAUACUUAGAUUUUAUUAUGUAAAUUUAAGUUUCGCACUGGGAACCUGAUAUCUAAGGUACGGUCUGCCUAUUCUACAGUCUGGUUAACCAAUCUUUUCCUGAUUUCAUGGCUAUUUUUCUAGAAAGAUUAUUAUAAAAUAAGCUCAACACAGCACAGUUCAGCAACAAGAAACUGACCCUUAAUCUUUAGAGAAAAUGAUAUUUCGGUAAUACUAUCAUUGUUUUACUUUAUUUCUCUUAUAACCUCACCUACCACGAACUAUCUAUCAUGUUGCAUGCACCAAACCACUACACCCAAAAGCUUAAGCUGACACGUAAAGGAGGGCAAUUCACUUGUAGUUCAACACUCGCCCACACAUCCCUCAGGCCUAAACGUUGACCGAAAGUGGGCUGCAUUUUUUCAAAAAAUUCUGCCAGCCAGGUCUUGAACUCAAGACCUCUUAGCUCUGAUACCAUGUAGAGUUGCAUGUACCGAAAAGGUACACCCAAAGCUUAAGCUGAUGGGGAAAAGGGGGCAAUUCACUUAUACUUCAAAUAUCAUAAUUUACUAACGAUUCAUUAAAUAUACUGGAAAAAUAUACCAUCACAAAAAUUCAUGUCAAUUCCAUGCUAGUUUCCCUCUUAGAAUUGACCAUGUCACACCAGCCCAUUCCAGUUUAUAAUUUCAAAAAAAAUAAAGAACUUAAUCCAUAAGUUCGCAAAUCUAUGACACGCAUGGAUGAUCACAGAGCCUUAAGACAUGCAUUGUAGCCAUGACGUGCGAAUCAACAUGAAGAAUGCAAAGCAACGUCAUUAGAAGUCCAUGCAAACAUGCCAUACAGGCCCACCAAAUAUCAAAGAAAUUAUAUCCCCACAGUUACUCGGUCAUUCAUGUCACCAUUUCUUCCUACACCCUCUCCUCCCUCUAAGCCCUAAAAAAGUUUGGUACACUGUCACACCAUAUCAAGUUCCUGGCAUGACAUAAUCCAGCCAUGGCACAGUGCGAGCAGUUCCCUGACCAGCAAGACAUGGUGCAACAUGAAACUACUUGUGCAAGAGUGAAGCAGUACAAAGUUGGCACAACUCACGCAAGGCCAUGAGGGCAUGAUGCAGGCUGGUGCAAGGUCCGCUCCUACUUGCAAACUGCUCAAAAACAUGGUUGGCUAACAUGGUCAUAGACGGACAUAACAGGUACAGAAAGCUAGUUCUGCUGGGUUAUUUGGGCAGCAGAGUUCAGAUCAGUAAGAUUGAUUACGGAUCAUAUAAAUUAACACGGAAGAUACUAUUCGCCAUCAGCAAACAAACAUAUUACAAGUAAAACUGUCUGAGAAGUAUCAGGCAAUAUGUACAUAUGCUCACCUGCAAGAACUAAAGCAUAUUUAGUAAAUAUAUUGUUCCAGAACAGUUUACUUUGCAGAACACUGAAUCAGAAUCUACACACAGCGAUGCAGUUCUAAGAAAAUGCAAGGUGAAGUUACACUAGUAGUAUAGUAUGAAGUUUCAAACAUAAUAUCAGCAUCAAGUUAAUACUAUAUGCCAAAAGUAAGCUUUGCAGUUCUUUCAAAAUUGCUGACCGGUGAUCACAGCACUUUGCUUUGAGCGUCAGUGGGUAGAAAAGAGACAGCAUGAAUUGCAUGUGGUAGCCGCAGAGGCAAGCUCACAGAUAUACCCUCGAAAAGGAAAGGAGCAAAAAAGCGGAAGUAACAAAUAACCGGUCCGGUAGAAUAUGAUGAGAACUCUCACCAGAGAAAAUAAAAACUUGAAUAGCAGAAAUUAAUUAGGAAACAUAAUGAUGUCACACCUAGUAGCAGAGAGCAGAAAUUUUAUGAAGGCUCUCCGUCAAGUGCAGUUCAAUUUCAUGCUUGUAUCAGAUCAGAUAAAUGAAGCAAUGCUAAAACUAAAGUUCACCUCAAAAUUCCUAGUAGUGCUAACUACUAGCAUCUAGAGAAAUGAAUAGUACAACUUGUCGCAUAUUGCCACAAAUAGAAUUCAUGCAAAAUGAGCAACAUAAAAACCUAUGGGCGCACGGACCUAUUGGCUAGCAUGUGUAAUGCGGUCUGCCCAGCAAGACAUACAUGUAAUAAUGUCAGUAUCAGUUUAUGACAAUAAGAAACACAUUUCAGUAACAUAUGGAGUCAAAGUGUGAGAACGAGCUCAACAAUGGAAAGAAACCAGCACAGGAACCUGACUACGAUCAGUACAAUAACGCUGCUCAGGAAGGAAGUGACAAGCAAUGCAGGAUCGCCAAACCUGCCGCAGGGGAGGCAUUGGACGCGACCACCUUCGAGGUAGCUCCGCUUUUGGGCCAUACUCUCAUUGAUGAUUUUGGAGUAUUUGAGGAACGCCCUCCUUACAGCUUGUCGAUCGACAGCUGCAUCUGGCCGCAUCUGCAGCGGGUGAUGCGGUGACUCGAACCGGGGCUGCUUCGGGUGCCUGGAGAAGCCUUCUUCAGGGUCGGAGUGGUGCUUGCGCUUGCCGUCAUGCGGCGGGAGCUGCUGCGGCGGCAUCUGAUGCUGUGGCGGCCAGGCCUCGAGUCCAGCACGCGGGAGGUGUGGGAGCGGGGGCAAAGGGGUUGGCUCGAAGGGGUAGUCGGGAGGAAGGGCGAAGUAUGUGCGCACGGUGCCGUCGGCUAGGAGCAUGGUGCGGCGGUCGAGGUUGUGGAACCCGUACUGUGGUGGGGGAGGCGUCUCCACACGGGGCGGCUGCUGAUGCGGCGGGCGGAUGGCGGCCGCCGGCGACGCGGGGUUGCGGGCGAGAGGGGCUGGGGCAGGAGCAGCGGGGUGCCGCCUGGAGUUGGAGGAAGGAGCGGCGGCAGAGGUGGGGGUCGGCGUGCGACGGGAGGUGGACGCGGUCUUCUCUCCGGCAGGGUUGGGUGCGGCUCCGGCGGGCGGCGGGCCCCAACGAGACUUGCGGGGUGCCAUGCCGCCGGCAGGGGGCUUGCCGGAGGCGGAGGGCUUGGCUGGAGGAGGGUUAGGGUUCUUCAUUGCUUCAGCUAAGAUUUGGGAAUUUGGGGAAUAGGAUCGGAUUCCGGGAGCAUCGAAGACGAGAGUACGAAGCUUUUGCCUGCCUGCCUGAUUGAUUAGAACUUAGAAGGCGACGAUCCAGAAGUUUACGUAAAAGCUAGUGGAAGGCGUAUUUACUCUCGUAAACAAUUGUCCUUCUUUUCUCGUCAGCUUAAAGUUACGGUUCUUAAUCAUAGAUAAAUCUUAAAUUACCUUAUUAAAAAUCAGAGAUAAUUCGAUUCUAAUAUGAUUUGUGAUUUAAGAUUUAAAAUAAAUGAUAAAAAAAAAGAUAAAAUGAGAUCUACAGACUAAUCAACGAUUCUGGUUCAUCGACUUAGAUUUAACUUUUUUCUUAAAGAUCAAACAACUUAGAUAUAAUCGCACCCUUAGAUUUUUGGGUGAACUAGGUGCAUAAAACUUUUCAUGGUUUCAGACCCAACAACUCUCGAGGUCGAGUUCAAGACCCUGCUAGCGCAAUUAAAUUGCAGUCUAUUUUUUGGUCAACGUUUAGAUUUGCGGGGCCGCACGUGACGGAGGGUUGAAGUAUAUGCAGAUUGCUCUCCUCUCCCCCAUGAUAAGCAAUGACCGGUCCAAACAACAUCCAGAAUGCGGAAUUGCUUGGUGCCAAUAGUUGCAUAAACAGAAAUCUAACUUCUUAAAUUUUGCUUCUAAGCGAUUCAUGUGGAAUUGUGGAAGAGUCGUGCGGCGUGACCUAACAAAUGCACUACGAAGUUGUAACCAUAUUGGGCAAAGACGCAUUCUGACGAUGUGUACCGACAAAUGCUAGAAAGUAAAGCUGUACUCUACAAAUUGUCCAUUUAAAAAAUCAUGCUAAACAAAAAACAACUUUCCAAAACAUUUUUGUUCACAUCCAUCGAGACCAAUUGCAGUAGCUGGUUAGCUGCUAUAAUUCAUACACGCCUGUCAAUAUAUGCAGGUAGUACUAGCAACAUACAUUUCACCAAUUAAGGGCCAGUUCGUUCAUGCCCCAGCCCAUUCAAUCCAGGGUGAAUGGCAGGAAUUAAGGAAGAUUUUAGUUCAUUUUCCCCUCAAUCCCCUCUAAACCCUCUCAAUCCAUGGGGAUUUGCACGCAACCGAACAAGCCAAGGUGAAAGGAUCGGAACACCGGACACUUCUAACUCCCACCACCACCCACACCGCCGCAACCACCACCGCCGGAGUUCGCCAGCUCCAGCCGAUCCACCUGUUCCUCUUGCAAGGGCUCGAGGGUAGCCACAACGUCCCGCAUGAGCGGCCUAGCCUUGGGGUUGCGGCUGAGGCAGUGGUAGGCGAGCAUGGCCGUCUUGUGCACGGCCUUGACCGAGUAGCCGUCGUCGGCGUUCAGCCUGGGGUCGACGAUGCCCAGCACCUUCCUCCUCUGCGCCAGCAGCGGCAGCGCCCAGUCCGCCAGCGCCUGCUCCCUGACGGGCCUCGACCUGUCCAGCGACUUGCGCCCCGUCAGCAGCUCCAGCAGCACCACCCCGUAGCUGUACACGUCGCUCAUCGCCGUCAGGUGCCCCGUCGUGAUGUACUCCGGCGCCGCAUAGCCGUAGGUGCCCAUGAUGCGGGUGGACACGUGCGACUUGUCGCCCGCCGGCCCGUCUUUCGCCAGCCCGAAGUCGGAGAGCUUGGCGUUGAACUCCUGGGUUACCAUGGACGGACGUCGUCGUCGAAGGAUUCAGAUCAUGGAAACGAAAGCAAACGCCGGAGCAAAUUAAGCCAGCACGGUAUUUUGGAGGAAAAGAAAGGAAAACCUCGUCUAACAAGAUGUUUGAUGUCUUGAAAUCCCUGUAGAUCACUGGCCUCUCGGCUUCGUGCAGGAAGGCGAGCCCCCUGGCUGCACCCAGUGCGAUCUUCAUUCUCGUGGACCAUGGCAGCGGCAACAUCACCCCUGCAUUGGUAAAUUUACCAGUGUUUCAAUAAUUGACAGGAUACGGUGUGUGAUCCCAGAUGAACAGGUAACAAUGCAUACUACACUAGCACAUUCAUAACGGAAUCAUCAACAUUAGCAAAGAACGGAAACGAGCAACCGAUUAGUGUCAAGAACAGGCAGGCUUAAUUAGCCUUACUCGAAAACAGGUGCGAUUCCACGCUUCCGAGGGGCAUGUACUCGUAAACGAGGACCCGGUGAUCAUCUUCGCAGCAAUACCCGACCAGCUUCACCAGAUUCGGGUGCGACAGCUGCCCGAGAAAGAUCACCUCAGCCUGCAAAACGCAAAGAACAAACAAUGAUCAACUUCACAAGUUUAUAACGACAGUAGAUCACAGAGCAUAUACACUCAAAAUUCAUUGAGAAAUGAAUGCUGAAUGAUCACCAGCCACUCUCUGUGGCCCUGGUAGCUGUUGUCGCCGUCGUGGACCUUGACGGCGACUUGCAUCGGCAGCGGCUCCUCCCCGAGCGCCGCCGGUAAUCCUUCCCGGAGGUCGCCGGUGACGUGGCCUUUGUAGACCCUGCCGAAGCCGCCACCGCCCAGCAGUGAGUCCCGCCGGAAGUUGCACGUGAUCGCCUUGAGCUCCUGGAACGUGAACGCGAUCAGCGGGUUCUUCCGGGCCGCGUCCCGGCGCCGCAGCGCCUCCACCUCCUUCGGGUUCGACGGCAGCGGGCCCUCUUCCUCCUUCUCCGUUCUCUCCGACGGGCUCCUCAGCUUCGGAGAUCCAGCUGCAACAGAUGAAAAGAGCAGGCCAUACAUGUCACGACUCACAAGUUCAGAAGUUGCAAAUGAUUCAGAGUUCUUUGAACAGUUCACUGAAACAGAGUUUCUGAAGAUAAGCAUGGGUUUCCAAGAGUGACAACUUCUUGUCGUUGAUUUGGCUGGCGAGAUGCAAAUUGACAACAUGCAUGAUGAAUGGAGUGGAUAUCUGACUAAAAUGUGUAGUAUUCCGAAUGGCCAUAUGUAGCCUGUCUGUUUGAGCGUGCAGGGAGGUAUAUAUGGCCUUUUUUGGAUUGAGAAACACUUUAUACUGAUCAACAAGUGCUGCAUGCUCCAUCUAUGAACAUAUAAUAAUGUAUCUCUAUUUCUAUAUCGGUGGAUCAAACAAAUAACAGAACGUCUUGCAUCCUACAGCUGCAACACCUACGUGCGUAGUCACAUGACAAGCAAAUUACCAAGAAAGGAUUAAUUUCAGUGUACCUGAUUUUGCUGCGUUGGAGGAAACCCUGUUAAAGUAUGGAUUCCCUUUAAACCAGCAAUUACCCAUGACAAGCAACUCCCAAAGAACAAACAGACUCUGCCUAUCUCACCAAGAACACCAAGAACAAAUGACCUGUUUUCUUCUGAAACUGCGGAUGGAGACAAAGUACAGAUACAUUCCAAUCUCCUGAAAGCUACACAGAGUGAACAAACACACAAGAAUGCCUCAAGAGAAACAACCCGUUCUGCAUUUAUUAUGCGUUUCAAGGAGAAGAAGAAACAGAGUGCAAAAACGCAGAGGAAACAGAAAAGAAAAGAAAAGGGCUGAGCAGUUCAGUUCUGGUAGGCCGUUUUCCUUUUAUGCAUCCUUUACACCAAUGGCGUAAACCUCGCAUUUAAGAAGGGCAUGGAUGAUUUCUCCCUCUUUCCCUGCACUGCAUUUAUCUCCUUCCCAUCUGCGCAUUUCCGGGAAAUUUUCCGGUGUGUGGAGGAGAAAGAAAAGGAGGUGGGAAAUGCAGCAAUCGGGACAGCAGGUAAAGCAAAGGCCAUGAUCAGACCACCGAAGGAGAUGACCGCACUUGAGUUGGAGUGAGACAAUGGGGAUUGCGGAGUGUAAGUGUAGUGGUGGGCUAAAGGAUCCAAUCCAAUCCAUCGUCUUUGACCCUGGGUUGCGUUGCCCUCACUCCUCCUCCUCUGCAGUCCAGACCAGAUUGCUUUGCUUUCCCGGUUGUGGUUGGGACUCAACCCAUCUGCUUCAUCUUUCAGGGAUCCGAUUGGAAGUGGAAUGAUGGGUUUUCUUGGUGGACUCGUUGCGCUGGUACAACGGUAGUGGCGCGCACGCACGUCCUCCCUCCCACUGAUCAUCGGAGUUCAGCUCACUGCAGUAGCCACAGGGCUGCAGACCACUAAUCCCCCAUUUGCCCAUUUCUUCUUCCAGGUCACAGGGGGGAUUCGUGGACCAGUGGCAGUCUUCCAAGUUCAACACCCAACUAACACCUGCUCCUUCCUCCUCAAUGCUCAAUCACCAUCCCAUUAGGUCAAAGACAUUUUCCCCUCUUUCCAACUUGGGAUGGAGGCGGUGACCACCGUCUAUAUCGCCAUGUUGUUCAGGUCAGGCCAAUCUCCUUCCCCUCCUCAGCUCGAGAUCGGUAAAGCUGGCUGCCUUUACGUCACUUGCAACGGCAGAUUAUACAGCAGAGCACCAAUGGGGCCAGCCCCCAGUGGAGGCAGUUACAGUUAUGCUGUUGCUACAAUGUGCAUUUCUUGUUUCCAUUGAUAAAAGCAGAUGCUCAUUGGGGAAUAACCAUUGUUUCCGUGUGGUUGGAUCGGUGUGGGUUCUCUGCUUGAGGAUGAGGAGAACCCUUCGCCCACCAGGUAUUCGACUGAUUGCCUGCCAGACUUGUGGUGCUGGCUAUGCACACUGUGGCUAGUGGUUUGUCUGUUUUAUUGAGGGCUUAAGAAAAGACUAAAUUCUAACUGAUUAGACCGUGUGAGCUCCAGCUGGUACUUAUACUUCUAUUGCUCUGCCCAUUUUAUGUCUGCCUAACAAUGUUGAAGUUGGUUGCUGUGAUGUGUCGAUUUAGCCGCUCUUUGGAUUCAGCAUGACUGCUCGCACCUCUGUAGUGUUGACAGAUUUGUCCGUGGCUGAUGUGACAGAUUUGCAAUUGCAACUCUAGUGUUUUCACCUAGCCAUCUAGGGGAUAUAGGUUAAGAUGUUUCCUGUAGCCGAUCAUAUUUGACAUGUUAUCAGAAUAGCAUGCUGUCAUUAUGUCACCAAAUUUGAGAGAUCGCAUAAUACCCCAAAGUCAUAUUACUUCUAGCCCCUUCUUGAGUGGAGAAUAACCUUCAUGUCUUGACCCACAAUAUCCUCAAGGAGUUGUACAUAUCCUUAUGGACAGAAAAAAAAAACUAAAUUCCAAGUGGUUGUCGCCUUGUCGGAUGACUCAUCAACUUAGCUUUCAAGUUAAAAAGGAAUUCAUCAACCUGGGCUUCAGUGCUGUAAGACUUUAUAAGUUGCAUUCUCUUUACACUUGCAUUUUCAUAGUAACACGUAAAGGAAACAGGGUUGAUUUGGUCUUCCUUAAUUGUCUGAUCCUAGAAAGCCCUAAAGGUAACCUAAUUUGUUGGUCAAACUAGAAAAGACCAUGGCCUAGAUUCCUACAAUGCAGGUUUGAAAGUAGUGUUUGUUAAACUUAUUAUUUGUGGAUUCAAGUACCUACUCAGUUUUCUAGCUGUCUAGUGUUAGUUCUUAGGGUACUGUAUAUACCUUUUUGUGGUCCUGUUAUACAGGCUAGAAAGCUACAUUAGUAUGAUGCAUGCUUUAUCAUUGCUUCUUCCUUUUCUGCUUCUUAAUUUCUUAUAUUUGUGUGUGAUCAUUCUCGUUCAGUCAUUCUAGCAUGCAAAAGCUAACCAUGUAGUGCAAAUAUGUCACUGAGUGGAUGAGUUUUACCUUGUUGAGAAGCACCCAUAUGAUCAAUUAUUCCCUGAAUUUGGAUAAAAUUUUAGUUCAUGCUACACGGUCAUGACUCACAGUCGAUCUCAAAGUAGUUGAAGUCUAUGUUUGACAUUUUCUCACAAACUAGUGGUUCAUAGACCUCAGCAAUCUUACAGGUUUCACUUCUCAGUAACCAAAUGCAAUUUAUCUGAUUUUAUUCCAAGCUUUUACCAUUUUAGUACACAUUGACUUUCAAGUUUCAACUAAUCUUUGAAACAAAGAAAACUCCAUGCCUUCUAUUUUUUGUGUAACGUGAUUUUCUUUCGGCAUAUAUAUAGAUUGGGAAGAACUCGAAAUAUUCUCAAUUUUUAUUUGUCCUCUCUGAUUGUCUGUAUAUAUUUUUAUAUGUGCCGGUGUAAGGCUUUGGGAGCUAAAAUCUACUCCCUCCGAUCCAUAAUAAGUGUCACUGGUUUAGUACAACUAGCAUUUUACAGGAAACCAAAUAUAACCAAGGGUAUACACAACUUUGCAGAUAAAAUUUCAAUGCAUCACCGGUCUGGAAUCUGUGAAGACAUUUUUGGCAUUUGAUUUUGAAGGGGGACUUUUUUUGGCAAAAUUACUGGACAAGGGCCCAGAAGUGCAAAAACCUUGCCUGACGAAGGUUGGUCAAGCUUAGCUUGCAACAGAACAUGGACUCUUUGACAAGGAGAUCUAUUCGGCCAAUCCUCAGAGUAGCAGUAGCUCUCUCAUGCUGAGCUGUUCCCUCACCAGAAGCCAGAGGAAGAUUUGGAUUUGGAGGAAUGUGCGAAGCUUAAACUGAUAGUACUAUGCUUUUCUGGAAGAGAGCCAAUACUAGCUAGUUGACCAUAACUUUGACUUACAUGGAUGUAAAGAAAACACUGGACAUGAACACAAAUCCAAUUCAUGUGCAACCCGGUCUUUGUGUUCUUGUAACCAAUGAUGGAAAUUUACUUCUUUUUUUGCGCAUCUAAAAGAUGCAAGAUCGACGGUCGGUGAAGCAUGUUGGUAAUUUCUCUUUGUGAUGUAAAGAAAUAUGAUGAGUUCUCCUGCAAGGGGUGUGUUUGGUAAGUUUCAUAAUGUUAGAAACUACAGGUUUCUUGACCUGUAAUGAUGUUCAUUAUUUUCCUUCUGGGCAUGCUGUUAUCUUUGCAUCAAUGUGAUUUGACAUAUCUAUCACAGUUCAUGUUCUCUGAAAACUGUACUGACACUACCAGUUAAGUUACUUAUUCACUCUUUUUUCUAAAUACUAGCCUCGACAUUAUUGAGUACCCAUGAUAUCAUGUACAAGGAUAUUUCCAUCUCACUGAGCCCCAUAAACAGUCUAUUUAUCGCCAGUUAAAAAGCUACAUAUAUCCAUUUUACGUGUAUUACUGAAAAAGGUUGUUAGCUGAUUGUAUUCAAGCUUAAGGGCAUGCUCCAGAUAGUACGAUUACUGCUUCUACGCAUGCUAAAUCUGAUAUAGCCUGAUCUUUACCAGUUAUUAGUUGAUUGAGAUCAAGUGGUUGUACCGUUGAAUGCAUGUAAAGUAGGGGAUGAAGGACAGAAGGAUGCAACCAUGUUUAAUUAAUCAUGGUCCACGCAGAUUAAGAAAUAGUUUUUCUGCAAAGAGAGAGUGCUCAGUAUUAUCAUCGUUCAGCUAAAGCAUUAUGCUUGCACGCAGUCUCUAAUGUAGAAACGUGUGCGGUAAACUUCAAUAGAUAGCUAAACUAUGUUGGAGUUUAUUAUAUUUUUGGAUAUUACGAUAAAUGGUUGACACUUGUCGGAAGACCAGAGAAGGUUUGGGGUUAACUAAGGGGAACAACUGCUAGAUAGAUUUUCUUCAAAUACAUUACAAGUUCUCAAAGACUCAUGGUACCAUUGCCAUAACCUGGAUACUAAUGGUAGGCAGAAGGUUUGUCUUGUCAUUAAACUAGAUCUUCAAAGCCUAAUGAUUUGGGCACACAUGUUAUGUUCAUAACUGAAGAGCUUUCCUAUUUCCUUGAACUCUACAACUUAGAUUUUAGCCUUUUAGUAGUUAUUUAAGCUUAUGCCUUGAAGUUAGCCUUUAUAGAAUCUCAAAGGCUACAGCAUCUAAAGUAUGUCUGUAGCUGAUAGCUGGAUCUUUGCCUCUUCUGUCUAGGAAGUAACAAAACACUAGAUCAGAUGAUUGAAACACGUGAGCAGGAGGGUUAGGUUUGGAAUUAACAAACUUUAGGUCUGUUAUCCUGUACUCCGUACACAGUAGCUAGACUGUACUUAACUCGAUAGGCUCAAUCAUUGCAUCAGCUAUCUAUAGACUAGAUCACUAGAUGAGCAAGGCAAGGGGGCAUGAUGCAGCCAUGGAGGGCUGUCAGGACCAGUAUAGCUUUGCGAAGCUUGUCUUGCAAGCACCCUACAGCAUGGCACAUACACAGAUACACUUGCCCCCACAUAAUCAUAUGUUGUAUCCUUUGUGUAUCUAUGAUGUCUAUAUAUAUAUCUCUGCCAUUCCACCAAUGCCAUUGUGUAAAGGACAAUGGCUGCUUUGCUCCUUCUGCUUGGUGUUUUCUCAGUCUUAUUUGCUGCCAUAUAUCCUGUUCAGUCCACUCCAGCAUCUCAUUCACAUGUAGUACUCCUUUUUUUGCGCAGAUUUUCACUCCUUUAUUCAUCCUUUUUAAUCAAAUCAGAUGUUCAUCUGUCCUCUUUUCUGGUGUAUUGCAGGUUCACAUUGUGUACUUGGGCCACAACAAUGGCCUGAGUCCUUCUCUGACCGCACAGUUUCAUCUGCGACUUCUAUCAAGAGUCUUUUCAGGGUAAUUCAUCAUCGUACAUUUUGAACUAAAGUUAAACGGGAAUAGUAAAAGACGGCUGAGUUUUCUUGAAGUUGACAGCCAAUAAGUGCAGAAGCUCCACUGUCUGCAUUCCAUAAGACAAAGUACAUCUGAGUUAUUGCUGCGCAGUACUAACUUGUCAGAUAAAUAACCAUAAAGUGAUUAGUAAAGUUGUUUAGGUAAUUGUUUGUAACAUUUAUACCAUGAUAGAAACUAUUGAUAUUUGUUACUCUAUUUUUUGUCCAAGCUGUAUUGUAUGCUUAGCUUGAAGCUUCAAUACCUUCACUCAGAGAAUCUGGACAUAAUUUUUUCCCUUUGGCAAGAAAAUGUGGCUAAAGAAACACUUGUAUGAACACAACAUUGCAGGCCAGAUGAAGCAAGACAAGCUAUUCUGUAUAACUACAGCUAUGGAUUCUCUGGUUUUGCAGCAGUGCUCAAUUCAACGCAAGCUGACACAUUGUCUGGUAACAAUUACCUAUAUCCUGGUGUUGUCUUAGUAUCUGUACAUAUCUAUUUUUGUGCACUCGAAUAUUUCCAUAAAUUUACAAGGAAUUCCAUGGUCAUUAUAAGCAGAAACAGAAGAGGUCAUAUCAGUAUUCAGGAGCAGGAUGCUGCAGCUCCAUACAACAAGGAGCUGGGAUUUCAUGGGCAUCAGCCUGCAUUUGCAGAUGCAACAAUCAUCCUCCCGGGUGCAUUUGAAGUACGGAGCCGAUGUAAUUGUUGGUAUCCUCGACACAGGUACUUGUUUUUUUACUGAAUCAGGUACUUGUCUUAAAACGAUUUCCUUUUCCCUGCAAAUCCUACUGCACUGUCCUGUACCUGUUUCUCCAUCUCCACACAUGAAAAGUGGAGUCCCUGCGUGUUCUUCUAGCAUGAAGAAAAUACGUAUGUUAGCUACCAAUAUCAUCACAAUGUGGUUUCCCGUUUCCAACAGCAAUGCAAGAGAAAUGAACUUCAGCAAACCUGAAGUAAAAUAAGUUCCUGGAUGCUAGCUACAGCUACCAUGAGAUACCAAGAUCUGAAGCUAACAAUUUUAUUAGCACCCAUCCAGUGCUGUUGGUCCUUGGCAUUUUUCACUCCACUUGGAAAUUAACAUCUGAUGCUUUCAUUCGUGUCCUCAGGGGUGUGGCCUGAAUCCGAAAGCUUCAGGGACGACCCCCACCUAGGCCCGGUCCCUUCAUCAUGGCGGGGCACGUGCGUGGGAGGGCAGCAGUUCGACCCGGCCACCGCGUGCAACCGCAAGCUCAUCGGGGCCCGCUACUACCUCGCCGGCUUCGAGAGCGACCUUGGCCCGUUGAACACCAGCGGCGGCGCAGAGUACCGGUCGCCCCGGGACCGGGUCGGCCACGGCACCCACACGGCGUCCACGGCCGUGGGCUCCGUGUCGCCCAACUCGAGCUACUUCGGCGGGCUGGGCCGCGGCGCCGUGCGCGGUGGUGCGCCCGGGGCGCGCCUGGCCGUGUACAAGGUGUGCUGGUUCAAGGACAUGACGGGCCGAUGCAGCGAUGCCGACAUACUGGCGGCGUUCGACGACGCGCUGCAUGACGGCGUGCACGUCAUAUCGGCGUCCCUCGGGUCGCCGCCGCCGCUGUCGCCGCUGUUCGAGACGAGCACCGAGGUCGGGUCGUUCCACGCGAUGCAGCUCGGGGUGUCCACGGUGUUCUCGGCGGGGAACGACGGGCCCGAUGCGGCCAUGGUGCAGAACGUGUCCCCCUGGGCGCUCACCGUCGCCGCCAGCACCAUCGACAGGAGGUUCCCCACCGUGAUCACCCUCGGAAACAAUGCCUCCUUCGUGGUGAGUCCUAGCUUGGUCCUUUUCUUCUUAUUUUAACCAAAUGUAAUUAUUUUACUGUGGUUAAUUACAAAUCGUAAAUAACGGAUAAAAUGUGAGGGUGUUUAACACAGGGGGAGAGCUUCGUUGUGGAGGACAUGAAAAUGCCUUUGGUAGAGAGCAGCAGUGUCUUUACGGAUGGGUAAAUCUCUCUGAGACGCACACACAUAAUGAUUAGUUUAGCUAGCGAUCGACGUCUGUUUGAUGACUAAUCGGGCGAUAUGAUGCAAGGACGUGCACCUUCGACCAGCUGGUGAACCGCACGGCGGCGUCGGGGAAGAUGGUGUUGUGCUUCUCCACCAUGGGGAUGGUGUCCAGCGAAGGAGCCGCACUGGCAGUGUACGCCGGCGGCGGCUCCGGCGUGAUCUUCGCCGACACCAUCACCCGGAAAUCCACCCAGGACAACUUCCUGCCCACCGUCCACGUCGACCUGCGCCAGGGCACCCAGAUCCUCGACUACAUCCACGUCCGAUCCAGGUAACCCCCCGUCGGAUCGAGUAACGUCAGCGAGCGCGGUCUUUCGAAGUUUCGAUGUGAACCGUCGAACGGUAUCAAUGCAGGCAGCCGGCGAGCGUGCACGUGUCCCCGAGCCGGACCGUGGUGGGCAGGACGCCGGCGCCCGCCGUCGCCUACUUCUCCUCCCGAGGUCCCAGCUCCAUCUCCCCCAACAUCCUCAAGGUAUGUCCCAUCAAGGCAGCUCUGUCUCACUGUGUGUGAUUCGAAAACUUUGCUGAAUUUGACUGGCAUUCCGUUGCGGCACGGCAGCCCGACGUGACGGCGCCGGGAGUGAACAUCCUGGCAGCAUGGCCGCCCAAGUCGCCGCCGACGGUGCUCCCCCUCGACAAGCGCUCCACGCACUGGAACUUCGACACGGGGACGUCCAUGUCGUGCCCGCACGUGUCCGGCAUCGUGGCGCUCCUCAAGUCCAUUCACCCUGCCUGGUCGCCGACCGCGGUCAAGUCGGCGCUCAUGACGACGGCGUACAUGCUGGAUAACACCGGGGACGCGAUGCAGGCGGGGGGCACGCUGAAGGCCGCGGACGCGUUCGACGCCGGGGCCGGACACGUGGACCCGCUGCGGGCGCUGGACCCGGGCCUGGUUUACGACGCGGACGCCCGCGACCACGUCCGCUUCCUCUGCGGCCUCGGGUACACGUCCGCCCAGGUCAGGCGGAUGGUGCUCCCUUCCCCGUCGAUCAACGCCACGUGUCCGUCCGGCCCGUCCGCUGAGACGGAAGCGGACGACCUCAACUACCCGGCCAUCGUGCUCGCGGACCUCGGCGGGACAAGGACCGUGAAGAGGACGCUGACCAACGUUGGACCGCGGAGGGACGUGGUUUAUUGGGCUAGCGCGGUUGUCAGCCCGCAGGGAGCCCGAGUCGAGGUUUGGCCCAGGGAGCUGGCCUUCUGCGCGGGGCGGGAUUGGGCCGAGUUUUAUGUGACUGUCACGCCGGGGAAGAUGUCCAGGGGGAGGUUCGACUUUGGGGAGAUCGUGUGGUCCGAUGCGUUCCGCCACCGGGUCCGCACGCCGCUCGUCGUCAGCGUCGCCAACCUGCCGGACAACGGCGUCGGCGCCGGUUCCGGCGCUCGAUCCAUGGAUGGCCACGGUGCUGCUGAUCCACCUUCGCAGGCUGCAGCCUAGCUCCGGCUUUAGAACGGAGAACUAGUACUGUAAUAUACUAUUCUUGCCAGGGCACGGCUUCUUUAUUUUGAUUCAGGUGUUUUGUUUGUUUACUGCGGAUUCGUAUGGUGUUUUCGGUUCAUUUUCUUUGGGACAUAAGUGCAUAUGCCGUGAGUGUCAGUGUGUCAGUGGUCAGGUUGAAAUGUUGUGUGUGUUGUUGUUAUUCUUCAGCAUCUGGAGGGUCCAGGCAGAGCUAUCAUGCGCGAAUUAUCACGCCAUUAGUCAAAGUUUUAUGAUUCGCCUUCAGGUCUGCGAACAUUGACUGAGAUGCACUUGUCCUGAGGCGUCACCCGCGUCAGUGUGGGGAAGUGAGGGCGACGAAGCGAGUUUGUGCAAGGCACGGCAAGCCAAGCGCCCGACUGAAUCAGCAACUUGUUCUUCUAGACUUCUGAAGUCUCGUUUUCUAAAAAGCCUUCUGAAAUCUUCUGCACCAAGUACUAAACCGUAAUUGCCUAGCACCAGCAGCAGCAUCCUAUUCCUUGGAGAACAACCUGACAUCGCCCAUGACUACUGAACAACCUUACAAACACAACCUAAAAAAAGCCCUGUGAAUCUGGACACUCGAGCUGCCCCGGCACGGCGAUACGACAGCCGUCGAUCCAAUCAUGCAUGUACUCCUAUAUAAAAUCUGGACCAAGCAGUCGUUAUCCGGGAUGACCUGUGACGCAGAUCGCUCAUCGUGAGGUGGCCAUUAGACAACAUCGAGCCGAUGACGUGUAUGGGGGGAUCCUUUCUCGGCCGUCGCUCGCUCUUCUUGGGGGAAGGAAAUCGUAUCAUUCGUCCGUCGCUCGUCAGAUAACACAGGAGUUGCCUAUUUUUGGUGUAGUCCGUCACCGUCCAUUACUAGCACUCGUCUUGUCAGAGAACAACAACAAGAGGGCGUACCCCGACCAAACACGGUGGGAAAACACAAACGAGUAUAUACGUAGUGCUUUGGAUUGCAUGCUUUGGUCCAGAGCAAUUUCUACGGGGCAGAAAGGAAUAUCACGGUAUUUUCUUGGAGUUCCUGUUAACUGAAUAGAAAGUUUCAGUUUUGUUAUUUCUUCUUUUUUCACAAAUAUCUUUGGUGAUAUUGGUCUCACGUUUCAGGUUGACGUAGUGCUUACUAGGAUAUGACACGUCGUUGGACAUGUUGGCCUCUCUCCCACGUGUUAUACCAACAUGACAUUGACUAGGACACUUCAUGAUCCGAAAGCACGGGUCUCUCUGUCUCUCUCCAGAUGAUGGAUGAAAUUAGGUAGGAUGCGUGUGCGCGCUUCUGUGUGUCAGGUAGCAUUGCCGAAGAAGAUUUGCAAUGUAAAACUCAAGUGAAAUCAUUGUAAAAAUGACUAGGAGUAUAUCAGAAACGUCCUUCUCUCCAAAAGUUGGAUCAACAUAUCGUCAACGUCAACGAGAUGGAUGCCAAUCCACCAUCUACUUAGCAUAACAGGGACAACAGAUGAUUAAGCCCGGCUCAAACAUGACUCUUGGUGUUUAAAUUUGGUUCAACGUCUCACCCAAAAAAAGGAGCUUGACCAUAUUUACCGCUUAAUAACCAUAUUUUCUAGACCCCUUUGAGAAAAGGUGUUAUACAAAUUUCAUGGAAAAGUUUGAGCUUAAUCAUGAAUAAGGAGUGUCAGAAGCCUUGAAGCCCUAAUUGGAAGCGUUUUAAUAGAUUGAAAACAUAUUUGUCUUGAAGAUGAAAAGGUUGAAUUCAAAUUUGGGUGUGUCUAUUACUCGGUCGCUUGAUUUUUAAGCAAAAUAUUAUCAAUUUUAGUUGAUGCAUUAGAGCCAAUCCGAAAGUCAUCGUCACUUUCUCUUCUUCCAUGUGCUAAACACAUAUCGACUGAUCUCUAACUAAAAACAAAUAAUUUUUUAACAGCAAAACCAUUCAAAUUUCGCAAAUCCUGCCGUCCUCGGUAACCUGAGGAAGCCCGACGAUGGAAUGGAAUCUGACGCCAAAGGUCCAAUCGCGGCUCGACCCCGCUAGCAGGUGGUACGCAGCAGAAUCUCGCGACGCCGGCCGGCCGGCCGGCCAGAUGCCAGAUCCAUCCAUCGCCAGAACACAAUUCCUUUCUUUUCUUUAAAUUUUACCUUCGUCGUGGGGGCGAUCUCGUUGCACCAGAGGAGCAGGCACGGCACGUGCCAAGCCUUAUCCUCCCAUGUUUUCUAAUCACCCGGAAAUCCCAGAGAGAGAGAGGGUGAAAAAAAUAAAUAAUAAUAACAAUACAGCUAUCCAUAAAGAGCCGUGGGGGCGCACUGCGUGCGUGCCGCCGCGUUGCUCACUGGAGCCCUCCCGCUCGCUCUCGCGCCUUCUUCAUCUUGUUUUCUCCACUCGCAUCGCAUCCAUUUCCUGUGCCUGAUUUAUUUUCUUCUGCUUUUUUCCCCUGGCGUGGAAACGGAGAGAAAGGCGUGGGUCUUGCCUCGGACUCACGCGCCGGUGGUGAUCAUCAGCGCUUCACCUGCAGAGCCCCCCCAGCACUGUGUAUUUGCGUGGCGUGUUGGAAGGAAGACCGUGAACGGACGACGCCCAAAAGACACCACGAGGGAGAUAAAUAGCUCCACAAACUGCAAUUGUCUGGGAGUGCCCUUGCUUGGGAGUGAACAAGAACGCUAAGUGAAGGCCGCAUGUUCCUUUCAAAAAGUAAAGUGCAUGCGAUGCGAUUUUUUUCCCCUUCACGUGUUGAGUAGCAGAAUGGAUGACGUGGCUACUUAGGGCAUCUACAUUGGUGGUUGAUAUUAAAAAAAAAUUCUUCUUUUUUAAUAUGUUUUUUCCUAUUCAUUUUCUUUAUGGACCCACAUGUCAAUUUCUUUUCUGUCUUGGUAUUCGUGUAGUACCUGUUAUUUUUUCAAGUAACCACUACUUAGUUGUGAUAUUCAUCUCUCUUUCUCAUUAGCCACUAACUUCUUAGUACCCGUGAAGUACCUCUUGUUGAGGAUGCCCUUAUGGACAUGCAUUUGUAUAGCUGGGUUUUACUGUGAAGAGAGAACUUGUUCAAUGUGUACAUUUUUUUUGCGUUGAGUGAUUGACUGGUGUCGUUUAGGAGCAGACUCAUGAUUUGGCUGUACAUGGGAGACAACAGGCCAUGUAUUUUUCCUUCUUAUUCUUCAGUAUUACUACUUCCUCCGUCCAACGAAAGAUGUCUCAAGUUUGUUAAAAUUUGGAUGUAUCUAAACAUGACUUAGUGUAUAGAUGCAUUCAAAUUUAGUUAAAGUUGAAAACAUCUUUUGUUGGACGGAGGGAGUACUGUAUUUUUUUACUUGGAAAAGUAUUGGGGUGCCCUCCCCUGCUGUCGGUUUUAUUGUAUAGUGAGCCCGGAUCGCUCGUACUAUCGUACAAUGCCCAUGUAACUUACACACUGCUUACUAUUGUUGUGUACACCUGCAUAAUGCUCAUCUCAUCUACUCCUCUGGUUUGGCCUUGGCUUGGUACUUUGUAUGCUUUGCGUUGCCACUAAAAAAAAAAGUAUCCCUGACAACAUCUUAUUCACUUCCGUAUUUGUAUAUUCUUUAUCGUAUUUGUGUUAUUAGCUGAGUUGUGAUGUUGCUCAUUGGAAGGUGUAUCGGGAGGCGAUAGCACCACCACAACACUUCUUUCGUAUUGUAUAUUCUUUAACGUACCAUGUUAUUAGCUGAGUUGUGAUGCUGCUCACUGGCAGGUGUAUCGUGAGCUGGUAACACCGGCACAACACUUCUUCCGUGUUGUACCGGUUGAGCUGUGUCGCUACACACUGACAACUUUACCAUGAGCUGGUAACGGUUCUUCCGUAUUGUACAUUCUUUAUGUAUUGCAUUAGUACCUGAGCUGUGUCACUAAUACUGACAACUGUAUCAUGGGCUGGUAACACCGGCAUAAUACCGUGUCCCUUCCACAUUGUAUAUGCUCUGUGUAUUUGCAUUAUCAAUUGAAGGGCGUCGCUACUUAUCAAUAGUUGUACCAUGAGCUGGCAACACUCGGCAAGACUCCUUUAUUUCUGUGAUAUAUGAUUCAUGUGGUGCAUUAUUACUUUAGCUGUGUCGCUGCUCGUUAACAAUCGUGCAAUGAGCGGGUUCCACCGAAAAAACACUUCAUAAUUCCUGUACCACGCGUUUUUCAUCAAUUGCGUCAUCACUCUUCCACAUCUAUUUCGUGAGCCGGCAUCGCUCUGUAUUGCAUUAUUACUGCACCGAGUAGCUGUUUUGCAUUACUACAUCGAUGGACGCAUCAUGAGCUGUUAACACCCACAAAAUUCACGCAACCUAUGAUGUAUAUACACGUUAUGAGCGAAGUUGUGUGGCUACUCGACAAUAGCUGUGGCAUGAGCUAGCAAAUGACGCCAUUUACAUAUGCGUUGAACGGUAGAGCUCGCGUCUCCGACUAUUCACAGCUGUACCCCGAGCCACUGGCAUUGAUAAAAUACCGGGCAAUCCAUUUUUUUCUAUAGAUAUUAAGCCUAUUUUCUCAUGCCUUGCCGCUAUAAAUAAGAAUGAUAAAUAAUUUUGAUCAUUUCAAAUAAAAAAAUAGUACAGGAUAGUGACUAAAACCUACUGCUAACAAAAAAAAUCCACCCCCAAACCCACCGGGGUAAGAAAAGGAUCAGAAAAGACCAGCAAUUAACCAGACCAAAUCACCACUCCCUCACAAUCUCACACCACAUAAAACCAAAGAGAAAAAAGAAGUAAGGGAAAAAAAUCCAGCAAAGAAAAGCCACAACCCCUAGAAGACAAAUAAAAAAUAAAUAAGUGGAGAAACGGAGAGGAGAGGGGAAUCCCAAGCGAGCCUCCUCUACCUGCAGUUGAGCCGUGGUCGUCCGCGCUUCCUCCUGACCGCUGCUAUAUGAGCCCCCGGGCCUAACCCUAAACCCCCCUCUUUUCCCUUCGCAGCAAAGGCCACUGUACCAGUAGUACUAGUACUACCUCAGCUGCUGCCCGCUGCUGCUAGUCUCCUCUGGUGGCGGCUCGUCUCCCUCCCGCAUCCAUCCCCACCCGCCGCCUCCUCCCCUUAUCCCUCUCGACCUCUGCGUCGAGCUCGCGUCUGCCUAUCCGCAGGAGAGGCAGAGAGGAGAGGGGAGAAGCAGGGCCGGGCGCUCUGGUCGGUUCCGUCGGAUCUCGCCCUAUCCAGGUUGUUUGUUCCUCCGUUGGGAUCCUGUAUCAUGGCCGCCGCCGCGCCGCCUCCCGCCCCGGCCGCCGCGCCGGCUUCCUCCGGUGCUGCUGCCGCCGCCGCCGCCGCCGCCCCUGCCGCGGAUCGUAUCCUUUCGGUGCUGUUUUUCGCUUUCUUACAUGGUUUUGUGCAUUUUUAUUAGAAAAACACAUGUUUUUGUGUUGUGGGCGGUUUGCUUGAUUGACUGCGAUGGGUAUGCUUCGCUCUGCCGCCCGUGGUGACUGUGCUGCGGCGGCGGCUGCCGGCCGGUCGGCCCCACAUGCCCUCUGCGCCUGUCCGUCCUUGCGGUCACGCUUAGUUUCCUUUUCCAGAUCGGUGUGUUUUACUGUAUUAAGUAAGGCUUCCUGUCAAAAAGCAUGAUUGUUAUAAGUACUAGUUGAAUAGGAUUGUCUCUGUUGCUUGGUAAGAUUUACUAGUUUGCAAGGUUUAGGAUCUCAAUUCACCGUGUGACGCCUUAAUCCAACGGUUUGCUGUGCAAAGAAGCGACGGAUCUGCUGCAGAAGCUGAAGCUGGAUUCGCAGCCCAAGGUGGCCGAUGCAACCGAGCCUGCCGGGGCCAUGAAGGUAUUGAUAGAACAGUAAAGAUGCAUUUUUUUUAAGGUCUUGCUCCAGGUAAUAUGUGAUUCUGAUACAUGUGGUGUUGCUGCUAUUUCAGCAGGGGCCUGUGACCUCCCAGCCGCUUAGCGUGGCCAUCCCGCCGGAACGGUCCAUCACGCCUGUACUUCAAGACUUUAUGGAUCCCAACAUGUUCUAUCUGCCAGCAUAUUACUAUGGAGGUGAGGUGCCAUCGAGAAUUACUAUUAUCUGAUCAUGUGUUUGUAAGAUCAGCUAUUUGUUUUACAUUAUCUUUUGUGCUUCCUACUGUUUGCAGUGUUGUACAGUUCUCUGAUAGAUGAGCUUGCUGCCUCUUUUCAAUUUUGUUUUAUGCUAACUGAAUUGUGCUGGUGCUUGUCUUGCAGGUUACGACGGUUCCAUGAGCGAGUGGGAUGAAUAUCCUAGAUAUGUAAAUCAGGAUGGAGUGGAGGUUGCCCCAGUAAGUUAUCCUAGAGGAUGUUUUCUUUUAGCUUUCACGUGUUGUUCCUCAUCAUGACUUGUACCAUGCAUCAUAUUCUUAUUUUAUAUAAGGGGUCAGGAUGUUUAUAGUAGUGUCUACUGGAAGCUGUCAUGUCAAUUCUAUUGUUGGAUUGGAUAUGUAUAAUGUAAUAAGUGAAAUGAUAUCUACCCAUUUUUGGGUAUGUUUUGUAUCUCUGAUGGGAUUUCCUGCCACUAACAUCUGUAGUGAGCAUGUCAACAUCUCUCAUCUCAUUUUGUCAUGCUCACAUAUUGGGUAUGCCAACAUCUUGUUUCUCACAUAUCUGUGUUGCGUCCAUAAACAUUAAAAUUAACUGUUCUAACUGUCCUUUGUAAUUUUACAGGCAGUAUAUGGAGAUAUUUAUGGAUAUGGGUAUGCUCCUUAUGGCGCAUAUUCUCCAGCUAGUUCCCCAGUCCCAACAGUUGAUGGUCAGAUGUUUGCCGCGCAGCAUUACCAGUAUCCUGCUGCAUAUUAUCAGCCCCCUACCCCGGUUCCUUCUACCACUCAAGGUGACCUACAGCCUUCUGUCAAUGCUGAUAAGCCAGCAGCAAAGGCAGAUACUGCCAAGACAACCACAAAUGGUGUUCCUAAUGGUACUGCUCACAGUAACAGUGGAACUGCGCCCCUUGGGUCAAGCUACCAAAAUUCAUCAUUGACCCCUGAUGGAACUUAUAGGGCACCGUUGCUUGGUGGAGUCCCUUCUACUGGUUACGUGGACCCAACCUAUGGUUACGACACCACAGGAGCACACUAUGCAUGGUAUGAUGGUUCUGCUUAUACCAAUGGACAGCAAAGAACUACAGCUAAUAACAUGUCGUCUUCAGCGUAUAAUAGCAAUGGCUCUUCAGCGAGGUAUCAGAACAAGAGCCCCACACCGCAGCAGACGGUAAGAGAGAAUUGUGUUGUGUUGCUAUUAAUUUGGAUCAAGGGUAUUUAGAAUUCACUAUCUUUCUGCACAUGCCAUGCUAUAAGUUAAUAUACUUGUUCAUACACACAAUAGCAUGGGGAUGGAUAACAAACAGUUCUCUCGUAAUGGCUGCACCUUAAGUGAAGCUAUUGGAUAGGAAACAGUCCUUAUAAACUAUUAUCUGAUUUCCCUCUGGAACAUGCUGGCUCCUUGCUUACUUAAAAGGCAUAUUUUGGUCAUUUUGAGUUGAUUUUGAAGUUCUACCUUGAUUGUGCUGUAUAUGGUUUCCUCACUGAAGUGUGUGCUCUUUAUAUUGUCUUUAUGCAGGGCAUGAAUAACCGGAGACCAGUGACUACAGCAGGAUCAGCUGCUUCUACAUAUCCAAACAGGGUAUACCCGAGCACCCGGUCUUACAGCCAGUAUGGAAAUUCCAUCAAAACCGGCUACGGAAGCAAUGGCUACGGAAGCAAUGGCUACGGAAGCAAUGGCUAUGGAAGCAUUGGCUACGGAAGCAAUAGCUAUGGAAGCAUUGGCUAUGGGAGCAAUGGCUACGGAAGCAAUGGCUAUGAUUCCAGGACAUAUGGCCGGUGGGGUGUUCCUAUGGAUAACAGAUACCGGCCCAGAGGCCGUGGCAACGGAUAUUAUGGUUUUGGCAAUGAGAGUCAGGAUGGAACAAUUGAGUUGAACAGAGGUCCUAGGUCAGGUCGAUUCAAGAACCAGAAAUCAUUUGGCCAUAACGUUACCAUCGCUGUGAAAGGACAAACCCUUCCUUCAAGCGAAACCAAGACUGCUACUGAUGUACCUGAUAAGGCACAGUUCAACCAAGAUGAUUUCCCUGUCCAAUAUGAUGAUGCGAAGUUCUUUGUCAUUAAAUCAUACAGCGAGGAUGAUAUCCAUAAGAGUAUUAAAUACAAUGUGUGGGCAAGUACCACCAAUGGAAACAAGAAGCUUGAUGCUGCUUAUCAAGAAGCUCAGGCAAAGAGCUCUAGCUGCCCUAUAUUCUUGUUUUUCUCGGUGAGGAUAUUCUCCGUACUUGGUAUUCCUUACUAAUGCUCAAUGCAGUUUCUGUGGUUAACCGAAUUUCUUUCACUAUAAAAUCUCAGGUGAAUACAAGUGGACAGUUUGUUGGUGUUGCUGAAAUGACUGGUCCUGUUGAUUUUGAGAAGACCCUUGAGUACUGGCAACAAGACAAGUGGAAUGGUUCAUUCUCUGUCAAGUGGCACAUUGUCAAAGAUGUGCCCAACAAUAUUCUCAAGCACAUCAUCCUAGAGAACAAUGAGGGCAAGCCAGUCACAAAUAGCCGCGACACACAAGAUGUAAGUGUGCUCAAAUGUUUAAUUUAGUUGCUUCACCGACUUACAGAUAAGCUAUAUCUUACUGCUCUCUUGUUUUAUCCUUGUUGUAAAACAAUCCAGAUAAACCUUGAGCAAGGUAUUCAGAUGCUUAAGAUAUUUAAGGAGCAUGUCAGCAAGACAUCGAUCCUAGAAGACUUUGCCUUCUAUGAGAACCGCCAGAAGUUGAUGCAGGAAAAAAGAGUGAAACAACAGCAGAUCCAAAAGCAGGUACAUGUGAAUCUAACCCUAGUAAAUCAUCACUUCUUCUGCUGUUUCAUCCUACUCUAUGUAGUAACACUGGGUUGGUUGUUCAAUCAUUCAGGUCUGGGACAGUAGGGCUGCAAAUCCUGUGGCUGGAGAGAAACAGCAGGACAUUGUCAAUGGGAAGCCAAAGCUAUCUGUACCAAAUGGUGUCAUCACUGAAGAGAAGCAGCAGGAUAUCGCUAAUGGGAAGCCAAAGUUGUCCGCACCGAAUGGUGUUAACGGAGAGCCGAAAGUUCCUGCAGAGAAUGGCGUCGCUGCUCCUGUUGCUACCUAUGCUGCGAAGGUAGCCCAAACAGCAGCAACCGAGAAACCUGCGCUUGCCAACGGUGCCGUCAAGACUGGUCUAGCUUGAUCGCAUACCCUGAUGCUCCCAGCUAGCCAUGAGGAACAAACGGACGGUCCCCGACGAACCAGGCAAGAACAUGCGGUCCCAAGGAACUGGUCAUCAAAGGUCGGCUACCG